CUAGAAGAGUUUCAAGCAACACAGUCGUUGAUUUGAUAUGCGAAGUAGAAUAUAUUAGGUAUUCGAUGUUGCGAAAAAAGCUGUUUGAUUGAGAAAGUUCAUCUGUAAAUUUAAAAUGAUUUUCUCAAUCGAAGGUCUAGUUUUACUGUAUUGUGACAGCACUGGUGCCAUCGCUCAAGCCAAAGAACUCAAGUCUCAUCAAAGAAUCAAAUAUAUUAUGCA
rnacentral:lncRNA from 1 species